rnacentral:lncRNA from 1 species
UUUUUUUUUUUUUUUUGCUUUUUGGCUGCGCCCAUGGCAAUAUGGAAGUUCCCAGGCCAGGGAACAAACCUGCCCCACAGCAGCAAUCCAAGACUCUUGCAGUGACAACACCAGAUCCUUGAUCCCCUGCACCUGCCACAAGAAAACCCCUGCACCCACCACAAGAAAACCCCCAAGUCCUAACCCUUGAUAUCUCUGAAUGUGAUCUUACUUGGAAACAGGGCCUUUAAAGCUGUAAUUAGGUUAAAUAUCUUGAGAUAAGAUCAUCCUGGACAGAGGAUGCAGGAUUCAAAGCCCCAUCUGCGAUCUAGUGAUUACAUAAGAGAAAGAAGAGGGAGAUUCGAGACAGAUUGACAGGGGAGAAGGCCAUGUGAAGAUGGGCUCAGAGACUGGUGUCCAAAGCCCCAAGCCCAGGAAUGCCUCUGGCCACCAGAAACUGAAAGAUCCUCCAGCAAAAAAGAACUCUGAUGGAGCCUCCAGAGGGAGCUCAGCCCUGCUGAGACUUUAAUUGCAGAUGUCUGGCCCUACAACUGUAAGGGAAUAAGAUCCUGCUGUCUUAACCCACCGGGUUUGUGUGAUUUGUUACAGCAGCCCAGGAGGCUAAUGCAACACACAAUUUGCAAAGGACUUAGAUUCAAAAUACACAGUCUUUUAGCUAUACCAUUAAGAGACAAACACCCAUCAGAAACACUGACCAGGAGUUCCCGUCGUGGCACAGUGGUUAACAAAUCCGAGUAGGAACCAUGAGGUUGCGGGUUCGGUCCCUGCCCUUGCUCAGUGGGUUAAGGAUCCAGCGUUGCCGUGAGCUGUGGUGUAGGUUGCAGACGCGGCUCGGAUCCCGCGUUGCUAUGGCUCUGGUGUAGGCUGGUGGCUACAGCUCCGAUUAGACCCCUAUCCUGGGAAUCUCCAUAUGCCACGGGAGCGGCCCAAUAAAUAGCAAAAAGACAAAAAAAAAAAAAAAAAAAAAAAAAAGAAAGAAACACUGACCAAAUACUUAAAAAAAAAAAAAAAUCCAUGUAAGACGAUCCACAAAAAGAUGCUCAGCUUCUUUGGUCACCAGAAAAUUAAAAUUAAAACCAAAAUAUGAUGAAACUAUACCACCCACACCAGAAUGGUGUAGAUGAAAAAAGUCAGGCAGCGCUGAUGCUGAACACAUUACAUUCAUUCUUUGACUGGCAAUUCUUCCCUACUAAGUCUUUUAUAUCAAUUGUCAGUCCAUCCUCACAGUAAUCCUCUGAAGCAUAUACAACCAUUUUACAGGUGAGGAUAAAGAGGGUUUGGAAGGUAAAACAAUUUUCCAAGGUCUAGGAUCCAUCUUGCUCUAAUGUCCCUGUGCUAUGCACACGAUUAUUUCUCCAUGAAAUAAGGCACAUGAGGCAUUGGGGACUACAGAUCUGCAGAAAACAAAACGCGCUAGAGUAUAAAGAGGUAAAGCCACAAAAAGGCAGGGUAUGAAGUGAGAAUAAAAAGUGUAAAUUCCUUUUAUUGGAGAAAAAUCUCUAGCAUCGUGUUGCCCCAUACCCACCCCUUCACAAAACAAGUUAUCAACCACACUAACCUCCAGAUCCUGUGGUUCUGGCUCCACAUAUGUACUUUUGCCCUGUACAACCUUCCUAUCCCAGUUCUCCCAAUAUCCAUACAUGCCUCGACGAAACAUCUAGUCACAUGGCAAUAUCACAGAAGUUUCUCCAUGCGUUCAUCAAGAUGGACAAAGCAAGCAAACUGAUAGAAAACUAGUGUCCUAAUUGCAUCAGCCACUCUAAAAAUCAAAUUUGAUAGCUUAUAUAUGGAGGUGAUUGCUUGUUAACCAGUGGUUGUUAUGAGUUUAUUAAAAUAAUUCAAUCUGACCAAAGAGCCUUAUUCUUCCUCACCCUGGAUGCCCCAAUCUGUUGUACAAGUCUCCUCAUAAUGAGUUGUAUCCCUGGAUUUCAGAGUGCUUUUAAAACAUCACACUUCUAUUCUGAGACAUUUUCAUUGCAUUUCUGUGGACUAUUUAAAUCUAAGUUUGCCAUAAAUUGAGGUGAUCCAACAGUUCCAACUAGAAGGAUAAAGUCUAGCCCAGUGGGGGAGGCAUUAAACCUCCUUGCAAGUCAGCAAAAGCAAAAGUGACAGCCUGGUAGCGAUUUAAAAUUACUGAGACCACAACUGCCAAUUAAAAUAGACUUUCAUGGUAACAGAUGAACAUCUGCUCUCUUCCAUUUGGAAAGAAAGAUUAAAGAGAGUUUACGUUUCUUAGUCAUGAAAAACUUAGAUAUAAGCCUGUAAUGUUUCAGUUUGGGCUGUGCUUAAAGUAUAUAUUCUUUCAUUAUGCCUUCCAACAGCACUACAUUUCCUUUUGUGCUGUUUUUUUUUUAAAAUAGCCACAAAAUGUUCAUAACAAAACAAACUAGGCAAAAGUCAGAAUCCAUGAUUCAUUCACAGUCAUUCUAAAAGCUGCACAUUAUCCUCCUCUCAUCUCCUACAAAAAUAGAUUUGGAGGAGAUUAUCCUAAAGAUGCUAUUUUGAUGAAAUGUAUGUGAUCUGAAUUCUGAAAAAGGAUUCCUGGAAAAGGACGCUCAGAUAUCAUAUGGAGAAAGAGGAAAAAAGGGAUGGGAAGAGAAAGGAAUAGACACGCGCACGCGUGCACACACAAACACACACACACACACCACAGUCUAGACUCCUAGUGGUUGCAGUUUGGUUCUUACUGUGCUGUUUAUUCAUAACCCCCCAUAUAUAAUCAAGUUUUCAAAUAUGUGGAUUCUUUCUGUUGUUGUUGUCGUUAUAUAAUGAUUUUUUUCCCACUAUAGCUGGUUUACAGUGUUCUGUCAAUUUUCCACUGUACAGCAGAGUGACCCAGUUACACACACAUAUAUACAUUCUUUUUUCUCACAUUUUCAUGUUCCAUCGUAAGUGACCAGACAUAGUUCCCAGUGCUACACAGCAGAAUCUCAUUGCUAAUCCAUUCCAAAGGCAAUAGCCUGUAAUAAGUUAUAUUUGAUUAGAGAAAAUCACACCACGUAUUACCUUACCUUUUACAUUUGAAGGAUUCUAGGAUAAUAAAUAAUCCCUUUAGCGAGAGAGGUCUUACACUCAAAUGUCACAUCUUUUGAGAAAUCUGCUCUUGCUAUCUCAAUUCAUCCAUUACAUCUACUUCCUGCAACAUAUACCUCCACUAUACUAAUCAGCAUUGAAAAAUAUUGUUUAUUGUUAUGUUUUAUUGUCAUAUGUUCCUAAACAAACUUUGACAUAUUUCUACUUCUUAUCCAAGACCCCAGCCUAACACAGAAAUGACAUAAAAUAAAACCUUGAUGGCUAAAUGAGUAAAGCCAAGAAAAAUUAUCCUGAAGGGAACCUCAAUCAUUUCUGCCAAUCAAUUACUAGUCAAUCUCUUUGAUUUCACAUGCAAACCUCAAGUUCUCCUCAUGCUCAAAACCUAUUUUCUCUCUCCAUUUCUUUAAUAAUGUGUGACCUAGAUAAGCACAUUAGUAUUAAGAGGAAGCCUUCUCCAUACCUACUUGUCAUACACACAAGGUGCUCCUCAAGAAAACCUAGACUUUACCCACCCUAGUUACACAGCAUCCGUUCCCCCCACAACUUUUGCUCACCAUCUGGUCAAAAACAGUUCCUGAUGUCAUUUCCUUUUCAGACACACAUCUGUCUUUAUUUGCUCAACAAAUUCAACCUUUCUUCACACUGCUUCUCAAGCCUGUGUUGAAAUGAGGAGACAGUCGAUGAACCAGAAGGAGGAAAAGCAUCAAAGAGAAAGGCAAAAGACUUACUUGUGUGAUGUGUGACUCCUAAAUGCUGGCACUGUGUCCAGCCUGUGAAAUAAAUUAUAACACCUCUACCUUUGCAUAUGGUGAUAUUAAAAUGUGGAGAGAGGGGGUAGUUUUUCCAUACAUGGAAGACUCAAAGAUCUGUCUUUCGGUCCAGAGAAAAGUAUGAGAACUUGCUUUCUGCUAUGAGAACUUAAACUCCUUGAAUUCAGGGCCUAUGUCUUAUUUACCUUGUAUCAAAUCACACCAGGUAAUCCAUUCAUGACUGUUAAGUAAAUGAGUAAAAUGUGCCCAUCACAGGACUUCCCUAGGCGGCCCCAUCUAAAAACUUUACUCUCCCAUUACCUUCUUCAAGGAGAACAAAGAAUUAUGAUGUUUAAAGUUAUGGCAAUAUAUUACCAAUUUCUCCAGUUUUAG